GAUGAACGCUGGCGGCGUGCCUAAUACAUGCAAGUCGAGCGAAUGGAUUAAGAGCUUGCUCUUAUGAAGUUAGCGGCGGACGGGUGAGUAACACGUGGGUAACCUGCCCAUAAGACUGGGAUAACUCCGGGAAACCGGGGCUAAUACCGGAUAACAUUUUGAACCGCAUGGUUCGAAAUUGAAAGGCGGCUUCGGCUGUCACUUAUGGAUGGACCCGCGUCGCAUUAGCUAGUUGGUGAGGUAACGGCUCACCAAGGCAACGAUGCGUAGCCGGCCUGAGAGGGUGAUCGGCCACACUGGGACUGAGACACGGCCCAGACUCCUCCGGGAGGCAGCAGUAGGGAAUCUUCCGCAAUGGACGAAAGUCUGACGGAGCAACGCCGCGUGAGUGAUGAAGGCUUUCGGGUCGUAAAACUCUGUUGUUAGGGAAGAACAAGUGCUAGUUGAAUAAGCUGGCACCUUGAUGGUACCUAACCAGAAAGCCACGGCUAACUACGUGCCAGCCGCCGCGGUAA
rnacentral:rRNA from 1 species